AUUCCAUCGUAGCUGAACAACGAUGUGUUAAUACAACUGCGAUUUGUCGAACCGAUUUUGGGUUUUGUUGCAUCCUAAAUGAAAGAAUAUCAUCAAGUAGACGGCAAAAUUGGCUCGAUAAAUCGCAGCGUGUAAGUUGUAUCUCAAACAGAAUUUGAAUCAAUAUUUCCAGAACAGGGGUGGACUUACUGCAAGAGUGCGGGCAGUGGCGUAAAUCUCGGUGGGGCGGGGCCGGCCGCCCCCCGCCUUCGUGGAAAAUGACGAAUUUUCGGAAAUUUUGACCUUUACAGUAAAAAGGCUAAAAACAGCCUUUUCGAGUGUAAAUGGGGGGGGG